rnacentral:rRNA from 1 species
UACAGAGGGUGCAAGCGUUAAUCGGAAUCACUGGGCGUAAAGGGUGCGUAGGCGGCGACAGCAGUUGGUUGUGAAAUCCCUGGGCUCAACCUGGGAAUGGCAGCCAAUACUAUGUCGCUAGAGUACAACAGAGGAGAGCGGAAUUUCCGGUGUAGCGGUGAAAUGCGUAGAUAUCGGAAGGAACAUCAGUGGCGAAGGCGGCUCUCUGGUUUGAUACUGACGCUCAGGCACGAAAGCGUGGGGAGCAAACAGG